GAUGAACGCUGGCGGCGUGCCUAAUACAUGCAAGUCGAGCGAACAGACGAGGAGCUUGCUCCUCUGACGUUAGCGGCGGACGGGUGAGUAACACGUGGAUAACCUACCUAUAAGACUGGGAUAACUUCGGGAAACCGGAGCUAAUACCGGAUAAUAUAUUGAACCGCAUGGUUCAAUAGUGAAAGACGGUUUUGCUGUCACUUAUAGAUGGAUCCGCGCCGCAUUAGCUAGUUGGUAAGGUAACGGCUUACCAAGGCGACGAUGCGUAGCCGACCUGAGAGGGGUGUGGCCCACCCGGGAAGUGAGACCGGGACCAGACCCCGACGGGGGGAAGCAGGAGGAAUGCUUCCGAAAGGGGAGAGAGCCGGACGGAGCAGCGCGGGGGGGGAAAUAAAGGUUUUGGGAUCAAAAAACUUUGUUAUGGGGGAAAAAAAAAUGUGUAAGAAAAUAGGCACUUCUUGAGGGUACCUAAUAAGAAAGCCACGGCAAACCCCGGC
rnacentral:rRNA from 1 species